rfam:Triticum aestivum genome assembly, contig: Triticum_aestivum_CS42_TGACv1_scaffold_328510_4BS
CUCAUACUCCCUUCGUCCGGAAAUACUUGUCAUCAAAAUGAAUAAAAGGGAAUGUAUCUAUACGUAUUUUAGUUUUAGAUAAAUCACUUCUUGUCCAUUUUGAUGACAUGUAUUUCCGAAUGGAGGGAGUAUAAA